rnacentral:rRNA from 1 species
GAUGGCAUCAUUCGACAUUGAAAACUCCGGUGGAUAGAGAUGGGCACGCGCAGGAUUAGAUAGUUGGUGAGGUAACGGCUCACCAAGUCAACGAUCCUUAGGGGGCCUGAGAGGGUGAUCCCCCACACUGGUACUGAGACACGGACCAGACUCCUACGGGAGGCAGCAGUGAGGAAUAUUGGACAAUGGGUGAGAGCCUGAUCCAGCCAUCCCGCGUGAAGGACGACGGCCCUAUGGGUUGUAAACUUCUUUUGUAUAGGGAUAAACCUACUCUCGUGAGAGUAGCUGAAGGUACUAUACGAAUAAGCACCGGCUAACUCCGUGCCAGCAGCCGCGGUAAUACGGAGGGUGCAAGCGUUAUCCGGAUUUAUUGGGUUUAAAGGGUCCGUAGGCGGAUGUGUAAGUCAGUGGUGAAAUCUCGCAGCUUAACUGUGAAACUGCCAUUGAUACUGCAUGUCUUGAGUGUUGUUGAAGUAGCUGGAAUAAGUAGUGUAGCGGUGAAAUGCAUAGAUAUUACUUAGAACACCAAUUGCGAAGGCAGGUUACUAAGCAACAACUGACGCUGAUGGACGAAAGCGUGGGGAGCGAACAGGAUUAGAUACCCUGGUAGUCCACGCCGUAAACGAUGCUAACUCGUUUUUGGAUUUUCGGAUUCAGAGACUAAGCG